CACGAAGCGGUGGAUGAUGUGGAUUAAUUCGAUGCAACGCGAAAACCUUACCUACCCUUGACAUGUCCGGAAUCCCGAAGAGAUUUGGGAGUGCUCGCAAGAGAACCGGAACACAGGUGCUGCAUGGCUGUCGUCAGCUCGUGUCGUGAGAUGUUGGGUUAAGUCCCGCAACGAGCGCAACCCUUGUCAUUAGUUGCCAUCAUUUGGUUGGGCACUCUAAUGAGACUGCCGGUGACAAACCGGAGGAAGGUGGGGAUGACGUCAAGUCCUCAUGGCCCUUAUGGGUAGGGCUUCACACGUCAUACAAUGGUCGGUACAGAGGGUUGCCAACCCGCGAGGGGGAGCUAAUCCCACAAAGCCGAUCGUAGUCCGGAUCGCAGUCUGCAACUCGACUGCGUGAAGUCGGAAUCGCUAGUAAUCGUGGAUCAGCAUGUCACGGUGAAUACGUUCCCGGGUCUU
rnacentral:rRNA from 1 species